rnacentral:rRNA from 1 species
GUGGGGAAUAUUGGACAAUGGGCGCAAGCCUGAUCCAGCCAUACCGCGUGGGUGAAGAAGGCCUUUGGGUUGUAAAGCCCUUUUGUUGGGAAAGAAAUCCUGUCGGUUAAUACCUGGCGGGGAUGACGGUACCCAAAGAAUAAGCACCGGCUAACUUCGUGCCAGCAGCCGCGGUAAUACGAAGGGUGCAAGCGUUACUCGGAAUUACUGGGCGUAAAGCGUGCGUAGGUGGUGGUUUAAGUCCGUUGUGAAAGCCCUGGGCUCAACCUGGGAAUUGCAGUGGAUACUGGAUCACUAGAGUGUGGUAGAGGGAUGCGGAAUUUCUGGUGUAGCAGUGAAAUGCGUAGAGAUCAGAAGGAACAUCCGUGGCGAAGGCGGCAUCCUGGGCCAACACUGACACUGAGGCACGAAAGCGUGGGGAGCAAACAGGAUUAGAUACCCUUGUAGUCC